rnacentral:rRNA from 1 species
UACGUAGGUGACCAGCGUUGUCCGGAUUUACUGGGCGUAAAGAGCGCGCAGGCGGUCGUUCAAGUCGAGUGUGAAAGCCCCCGGCUCAACUGGGGAGGGUCAUUCGAUACUGAUCGACUGGAAGGCAGGAGAGGGAAGCGGAAUUCCCGGUGUAGUGGUGAAAUGCGUAGAUAUCAGGAGGAACACCGGUGGCGAAGGCGGGUCUCUGGGCCGAUACUGGCGCUGAGGAGCGAAAGCGUGGGGAGCAAACAGG